CAGUCUGUGGUCUCCUGUUUGCAACAGCAGAACACAGACUGAGACACACACAGCAUCCUUUUUAGGGCUGCGUAAUGUUCCACUGACCCCAUCUCUUUGGUCCUAGACCUUAAAUUCUGCUGGAUUUCCAGUGUUUGGGCACUAGGACUUUAGGCUUUGUUGUGUGAGAUUUUUCCUAAGGAAAAACCUUUCCAGGCAUGUGAACUGUGUUGACCUCCCAAGUCUCAUGAGUCUUCUCUCUCCCUCCUGGAAGGAAUGUUUCAUCUGGAAGGAAACCACUAAUACAACAGGGUCCCUUCCCUAAGAGGAAGAACGUAAGAGAAACCAAGGAGACCUAAUAGCUUUAAUUAAUUAAGGCAUUGAUCAAGAACUAAUAAGGUGGCUGCAACCUUGUGGAAGACUCUGGUUGACUGAUGGUGCUAAGCUGACAGAGCUGUAGCUAGCCCAGUCAUCGAUGCCAGGAGAGAUCUGAGAAGGAUGACGGGCAAAUUUUCAUCAAAGUCCUUUCCUGUGGUUUCUUCCCAGUAGUUUAGAGCAUCGCAUAAGUAUAAUAUUUUAAACAAGAAUAGAAACGUAUAUAGGCAUAUAUUAUAAUAAAAAUUAUAUUUGUAUUAAUAUAGAAAAACCUGUAUCAAUGGGAAACAUUUGAGACUAGCAGCAGCUUUUUUUAUCCUAAUCAAUAAUAAUUUGUAAUCAAUUUUCUUAAAUGAUGACAAGUAUUUGUAACACAUUAAACUCAAAUUACCAAAAUCCAUGAAUUUUUUUCCUGUGGAAGUAAAAGCAUACUUUUUUCCAAAUAUAAUGUAUCUUUGAUUUUUUUUUAAGAUUUAUUUAUUUAUCAUGUAUACAGUGUUCUGUCUGCAUGUAUGCCUUCAGGCAGAAGAGGGCAUCAGAUCCCACUAUAGAUGGUUGUGAGCCACCAUGUGGUCGCUGGGAAUUGAACUCAGGAUCUCUGGAAGAGCAACCAGUGCUCUUAACUUCUGAGCCAUCUCUCCAGUCCCGUAUCUUUGAUUUUUAUUUUAAAGUCAAAGCUUUUCAAAGUAUGCAGGCUGGUAAUUUAACAUUUUUUUUUAAAGUAGUAUCAGGACAGAGAAGAGUUAAGGAGGGAAGCUGAUGGCCAGCAGACGAGAUCUUGACUUUAUCAUAGUAAAGAAAAAUUUGGCUUAGGAAGGAAGGGAGGGGGAUUUUGGCCCAGAGUGUGUCCUUGGCUGCCAGUGUUCCUGAAAAAAAAAAAAAAAUUGUUAGCUCCUCUGACUAUAAUAAUUAACAAUUAAUCCCAGAUUCUCUGUUCGGUGUUCCUGACGUUUGUCAAUUGUAGGCAGUCAGCUCCCAUCUCUGCACCAAGAGCACGUACCCCCACCCUCUGUGAGAGCCGCUGGCUGGCUGCAGACCUCUCCUGCAGACCGAGACCAGCCCCACCUGUCGGAAAGCAAAAUAGCUCCGGAGGGAGGUGGCCCUUGCUGUGCCUCUCUCUCCUCUUCCAGGAAAAUGAGGGAGAUUAGGAGACAGAAACAAGUAACGCUGCCAUAGACAUAAAUACUGGCCUCAUGCGGGCUUAGCCAGCCCCAUGUAACAGAUGGCCUCUCUUGCUGUAAGCAAGCCCCACCUGGCAGGAGCUACCUGCUUAUCUCAGUUCAGUCAUAUGGAACAGAACAGUAACAUAGUAACAGUCAGAACACAGACAGAGACAAGGACAAGGAGCGCUCCUUUAUCUAUCAGCAGAUCUGAAAAUGAGUCAUCGGACUCUUGGCUUGCGGUCGCGACCCGCUUAGCCUCUCCAGAGAAACCAAAGGAAUCCAGUCCCCCUCAGAUGGGUCUCCUGACCCCUCCCAGGAGCCCUGGGACGUCUUCCAGGACCCAAAUCUGCAAUCCAUCGGUGCGUCCAUCAUAGAUCUUAUGCGAGCUUCACGGACGGAGCUCCCACUGCUACAAAUGGCCGGAAGCAGAAACCAGAAACUGAAAAGACUGGCCGGGCAAAUCUGAUAAUAGGCACAGUAAGACUCAACGGAGGGUGGUUGCGGUGGGAUUGGGGAUCUCGAUGAAAACUCCAAAUGUUGUACCCAGAGUCCCCCAGAGAUCACCAGGAGACCAAAUCCAAUGCAAAAGCCAAGAGUCUUUUUACUAUUUCAAGUUAGCCCGGGCCUCUCUGUCCGUCCGUCUGUCUGACACAGCAGCAGAGCAGGAGAGGC